rnacentral:lncRNA from 1 species
GUUGCAGUGGUAAAAUGAUGGAAACAACAUAGGGAAAGGGGUUUAUUUUGGCUUGUGGUUCCAGAGAGACAGAGUCCAUCAGAGUGGGGAAGACAUGGCAACAGGAACAUGAAACUCACUCACCGCAAUGCAUCAGAAGUUAGACAGCAGAGAGAGAACAGGAAGCCAGCUCAGACUCGGAAGCCUUAAAGCCCACCCCCAGUGACUCACUCCCUCCAGCAAGGGACUAGCUUCUAAAGGGUUUCAGGACCUUCCCCCAAAGCACCACCAGCUGGGGAAGUACUCAGACGGGAGCCUCUGGGAAGACUUCAUAUUCAAACCUCAGCCUCUCCAAUUACCAGCUUCUCACAGAGAGGGCGUUGAGACGCAACGAUAACACAGGCAUGCGCAAAGGUUGUAGGGAACUUCUCUACCAGUUGAGCUCUGCUCUGCUUGCUGUGUUUGGUGAUCUUGAUAUUUAACUACAGUGAUGAUAAGCGGGAAACCUUUUUUAUAUUAUGUUAAAUGCAGUUUUGUAAGGAGCAAAACAAACUCUUGAUGUUCAAUGAUAAAGUGAUUUCUGAAAAAAAUGCUGAUUCAUCCACGAAAUGAAGUAAUAUGCUGCUAAUGAUAUUACAUCGCCAAAGAAAACCUAUCAAAUAAAAGCCAUAAAGACAA